rnacentral:misc_RNA from 1 species
GAUGAAGAACGCAGCGAAAUGCGAUAAGUAAUGUGAAUUGCAGAAUUCAGUGAAUCAUCGAAUCUUUGAACGCACAUUGCGCCCCUUGGUAUUCCGGGGGGCAUGCCUGUUCGAGCGUCAUUUCAACCCUCAAGCUCAGCUUGGUAUUGAGUCCAUGUCAGUAAUGGCAGGCUCUAAAAUCAGUAGCGGCGCCGCUGGGUCCUGAACGUAGUAAUAUCUCUCGUUACAGGUUCUCGGUGUGCUUCUGCCAAAACCCAAAUUUUCUAUGGUUGACCUCGGAUCAGGUAGGGAUACCCGCUGAACUUAAGCAUAUCAAUAAGCGGAGGA